AAGUUUGAGAAGCCUGGACCACACCCGCUUUAUCCUACGAUGCUCCCUGUUUUGGAAAUUUCCCCCGUUUUGAAAAAUAAACACUUGUUCAAAGUGACUGAAGCACUGCCAGAGGGUCAGGACCCUUGUUGGAAAGAAUCCUCUUCUGGGGGAUUGGUUAAUUUGUUUUGAUCUAUGCAAAUAUCCAACUUUAAGCUGCAAAGGCUGAUGCCCAGAGCAGCCUUGUUCCCAGCAGCCAGGCCUCUAAUCUGUGCAUCAGCAAGCUCGUUCGAAGACCCACUGCACUGAGGCCAACUGCUGGGCCUUCUCCAGCAGCUAAGCCAACAGGGCGUAGAGGCUGUUUGAAUGAUGUGGAGUAUAGACCAGCACACACAUCACCUGGGAAGCUUAAUAAAAUGUGGAUUCUGCUUCAGAAGUCCUGGUAUUUUGCAUUUUUAAUAUGCUCCCACCAGCUGAUGCUAUUGAUUGGUGGGGGUCCUCGAGCAGCAAGCUGUGGGCACUCCUGAGACCACCAUCUCAUCAAGGUCUCUUCUCCAUUUAAACCUCCAAGCAAAGGCUUUCAAAAUCCCGUGGCUCAUCAGCCUCACCUGGGUGCUUUUCGACAAAGGGUGGACGUCCACGCGUUUGGAAACGACUGCUUGAAACCACAGAAGCAAACACCUCCUCAACAAAUCUGCUCCACCUCAAUUCUGAUUUUGCACGAACUCAGUGCCACUGCUGGAAACAUAAAAUGCCUUCCUCCUCGUCUUGCUAAGACUUCAGACACUGAGGAGGCGGGACCCUGAGAGGGUGGCUGAGCUGCUGAGGGACACACGCCAAGACAGCAGAGAGCCCUGAGAAACUUAGCAGAGGGCCACAGAGCUCCCCACUACAAGGUCACGGACAGGCCAACUCUGUCUCCUCCUUGCUCUCUGAUCCUGUGCCCUUAUCUUGUGACAGAUACUAUUAGUGUGACUUCCACCGCCCCUUGGAGGGGAGGGCAAAGUGCAGCAGCCUGCAGGGACAAUUUACUCCCUGCAUAUGGUUGUAAAACACUGUAAAUGAAACUUCAAAGGCUUUGGGCAGCCACUGCCCGUGGAUCUGCCUUUCUCCAGAGCCGUCCUCAGCAGCCUGUGCAGUUCUGCUCAGAGGUGACCUCAGCACCCGUCUCUACCCCCCCCUCCAAUCAGCACUCCCAUUAAGAAAGCUGCUUUUAUGACAUCACCGGUGAUUAAACCGACCUAAUUUCUCCCAGGCUGGCAGAGUCAAGAGCCUCAUUCAGUACAGAAACCUGCUCUAUGGGCCUCAGCUAAGCCACUUGAGAAAAAAAAAAAAGACCUGUAAUUUGUUCUGGGAGGAAAAGAAAAAUGGUGUGCAGCUGCAGCUUGCCGCACGUGAGACGUGGAGCAGGAGAGACCCAGGCGUUCCACAGCCAGCCCCUCUCUCUGCUGGGGCCUGGGGUUCCGGAAAUGCUUGGUCCUUCGUGCGAUGGAUGCCUGCUGAGCAGAGAGGGUAUAGUCGGUGAUAGUUCCCUUGGGGAGAGCAGCAGCUCCUCCUCUGUUAUCCCGUUUGCCGCGCUUGCUUGGGAUUUGCCAGCUCAUCUUUCUCACCUGCGGACCCACCAAGCUACUUCUGGCUUCUUUGUUCAUGCUUUUUCCCAUACCUAGGGUAGCCUUUCUUUUGCCUUGUCUGUCUAAUGAACUCCUAUUCAUCCCUCAAAACUCUGCUCAGGCUUUGAUUCUUCCAAAAUGCUUUCCUCCCCCACCACUCAGAAUGAACUCCAUGCAUGUGAUUCGAUUCCUUCUAGGGCUGUCAAAGUGUGGUCCCCAGACUGGAAGCAUCAGUGUCACCCGGAAACUUGUUAUAAAUGCACAUUCUCAGGCCUCACUCCCAAAGUAUGAAAUCAGAACUCUGGGGGUGGGGCCCAGAGGUCUAGAUUUUGAUAAGCCCACAGAGGGCUCUGAUGCACGCUAAGGUAUGAGAAUGAUUGAGAUAGUUCACGCAUCACACUGUACUGUGUUUUCAUCUGUAUUCCAUAGUGGUUUCUGAGCUCCUGAGGGCUGACGUGGUAUCGUAGUCACCUUAGCAUCUCUAAUCUUUAGUGCCAGACUGGGUAUACGCAGGAUGAUCGUUUUGAAGGACAAAUCUGAUAGGUGAGCUCUACCCCACCCCCUCCCCUUGAACCCUUCCGUGGCUACCCAUUCCUCCUUACUAUGAUCUGAGUGUCCCUGUGCAUCUGACUUCUGGCUAAUUAGAAACUACUAAUUCCUACUAUCCUUUAGUUCCAGCUUAAAUAUCGCUUUCCCGUGCAAGCUUCCCCUAAUCUUCCUCCACCAACACACAAAGUUAGGACCCCAUGAGACACCCACCCCCAUAGCCUGUGCUUUUCCCCUGUGUCAGUGAUCACAACUGUCAUCAUGCGAUUCUUCCUGGAAUAUUUGUCUUCCCCAUGGACUGUAAGUUCCACAAAGGCUGGGAUGGUAUGUGCACUCCUGCAUCCUCAGUGCUGGCCAGUGCCUGCAACACAGUAGGGCUGCUUCCUCCCUGGGCCCAUCAUCCUUUAUUCAGGUGUCUUUACCCCAGAGCUUGCGAAUUUCCAGGUCCUACUCACGGUUCCUUUCCACAGGCAUGGGAAGUCCCAGACAAUACGGCUUCUGGCAGACUGACUUGCCUUGCCAAAGCUCACGACCUGGCUUGCGUGGCAAAUAAUGAAAGAGCUUGAACAGGGGAAUUCUUCAUGAUAGCAUGCUGAUUCAUUCUGCAAAGUAGUGCCUGAGCACCUCCUGUGUGCCUGGGGCUGAGGACGGAGUGGUGAACAAGACAGUGAAAACCCCCUCCUCAUGAAGCUUACCUUCCAAUGGCUGUCUUCGCAUUUGUGUUAAAAGGAGAGUGACGUGUUUCCAUUCGUCUGUGAAAACAAGGUGAUGAGUCAAUUUGGUGAAAAAUGAGUAGAAGAUGGUGACCUAGCUCCACUUAGCCAAGUAAUUUAUUCAUUAACUAUAUUGUCAUCAUCUUACCAGUGUUCCCAAAUUGUUUAGAGACAGCUUAAGUGUUACAGAAUAGUCAAGAUUUUGAAGGAAAAAAAAUGGGGAAAUUGCUACAAAG
rnacentral:lncRNA from 1 species